GGAAAGAUGAAAAGAACUUUGAAAAGAGAGUUAAACAGUACGUGAAAUUGUUGAAAGGGAAACGAUUGAAGUCAGUCAUACCAACGGGAAAUCAACCUUUUGAGCUUGGUCUCGUGGGUUUUGAAGAGUUUCAAAGCCUUCGGAUUCGCGGGAUUGGGAUCUCUUGGUGUACUUUUUCGUACGGUUAGUCAACAUCGGUUUUGAAUGUCAUAAAAUGACUGGAGGAAUGUAGCUUCGAUCUCGUAUUGAAGUGUUAUAGCCUUUGGUAGAUGUGAUGUUUGAGACCGAGGAUUGCAACGGAUACCCUUCAGGGCUACUCGUCUGAUCUCUGAUACGUUGCCUUGAUGUUGAAAGCUUGCUUAUGAUGUUAGGGUAUUACGGUCAAAAGGUUAGAACGAAUUACAUUCGUUAAGGAUGUUGACGUAAUGACUUUAAACGACCCGUCUUGAAACACGGACCA
rnacentral:rRNA from 1 species